CAAUAUAAAGUUAAAAGUUCUAUAUUUUUAUUAUUUAUUUUAAAUACUUUUAGAGCAGUUUACCAAAUUGUUCACCUUACCCAAUCUACAAAGCUAUCAUCCUAUCAUGACGACAUAAAAGUGCAGAAGCUAGAUAAACCGAAUUGCUGGAAUCAGAUUACUGGUGCAAUCUAACGUUUUACACAGUAUACACAGCGUCGGUUUUUUAGCUUGAUAUCUCUAGACAACUGCCCACCAUCAUUAGGCAGAAUAUAGUUUUUUAGCUUGACAGCCCUAGACAACUGCCCACCUUGAUGAUAAGCAGGAUUAGUGUGUCUUUUCUCAUUUCUGAAACCAGCAUCAUCUGAACUAUGGGUUCCGGAAUGCACAGGACUUACUAUUCCUUUUUAGAUGGUCUACUUCAGCAUUUUGGAAAAACCUACAGCCACUGCAGCCCAUCAAAUUAAGCAAAUGAUGUGAACUCUAAAAAAGAU
rnacentral:lncRNA from 1 species